rnacentral:other from 1 species
CUGAACCUGAAAUGAGCGACAACUUCUGCUAUUUAGAACCUACAAUACUUUAAACGGGAGUCUCAUUAUCUCUGUAAUAUGUCAAGCCACCGAAUAGCAGUGGAAGACAAAAAAGCAGAUGCGGAUACCCACCUAGCAUGCGCUAGGAGUCUAAAUGUAGAAACCGCCAUUUUGGGGGAUCA